rnacentral:lncRNA from 1 species
GGCUGUUUGAAGGAGGACACACGUCUGGGGUGUCUGGGGUGUAAGCAUCACGAUGACUGCGGUGUAGGGACUGAACCCAGGACCCAGACGGGGAGGAGGAAUGCCAGAGAAGCUGCAGACUCUCCGGCCACGGAGCCUGAGUGGAGCAGAGGUGGCCCACUGUCAGCCACAGGUCAAGUGUCAGGGUGGGGACGGGGCAGGCUCCACCAGAAGGCGGGGGCAGGCUCCACCAGAAGGCGGGGCCAGACCACAGGGCAAGGUGGAGAUGAGUCUGUGGCACCCCCAGGAAGUUUACCAGAUUUGCCCCAGAGCUUCUGACCCUUUGGAUCUCUCUGGGCUGCAUUCUUCAGGGUCCCAUUGCUUCUUUCUUGAAGGUGGAAGGAAAUGUUCCCAUCAGAGCCUUCCAACAGGCCACCUUGGGGGCUUCUCCUGAGAGCUCCUUGUGCACACACCCCUUCAGGGUGGCUUGGGUUGCGCCCUCAGACCCCAGUGGGGGGCCGUAUGGCAUCCUCCUUGGUCAGCAAGUGAGCCACAGCAGCAGGCCCCUCACAGACCUCAGCCUGGGGCCACAGGUCCCUUCUCCCCAUCUCCGCAUCUGGAGAAGCAACCUGUGGAGCAGCCAAGAGUGGCAGCCCUGGCUCUCUACAGCAUUCAUUUUCAGGGCAAGACAGAGCAUUUCCACUAUUAUGCUCCCCCCCCCGGCCUUUUUUUUUUUUUUUUGAGACAGGGUCUCACUCUGUUGCCCAGGCUGGAGUGCGGUGGCGCAAUCAUGGCUCACUGCAGCCUCGACCUUCUGGGGUCAAGUGAUCCUCCCAAUUCAGCCUCCAAAUUUCUUUAAACAAAAAAAAAUGCAAGAAAGGCAAAACAAGAUAUUUAUCUGGGCUGAGAGGGUAAAGAGAAGCUCUAUCUUUGAGCUGAGACACAAAAUGGAAAGAAGAGGCAGCAGCAGCGGCAGUAGCAGUUCUGCCUUUCCAAACCUUCCCUAUCUAAGUGCUUUCAAGAUAUGCUGAAAGUCAUGAAUUGAAGUGUGGUUCCCACGGCUUUAGUCCUUGUAUGAAGGUCCUUUUGCUAGAACUUACUUCCUUUCCAGCCCAUAUGGUUGACCUGGGGGUCCAGGCAGUUCUCAAGGGAACCACAGGAUUCCAUGUGAUCUGGGAUCCCAGUUGAUGAUCCCUCUUCUGGUCACAAGCUGAAUUGGACCCAAAUCUGCACCCUAAACUCCCCUCUUGCCAGAUCCUGCCCAGUCAGUGCCGUCCCCUCAGACUGGGUGGGCAGCCUGGGCUUCCUGCUGAGACGGGACCCCCCCCUCUCUUCUUGAUCUCACUCCCAGGAAAGACACUGAAGGAGCAGAGGUGUGGACGCCACAUACUGGACGGGGUUUCACCAUCUGCUGGGACGGGACACCCUCUCUUCUUGAUCUCACUCCCAGAAAAGACACUGAAGGAGCAGAGGUGUGGACGCCUCAUACUGCUAGAGACGGGGUUUCACCGUGUUAGCCAGGAUGGUCUCAAUCUCCUGAAGUCGUGAUCCACCCGCCUUGGCCUCCCAAAGUGCUGGGAUUACAGGCGUGAGCCACUGCACCCGGCUGAAAUUGUAUACUUUAAAGGGAUGAAUUUUAUGGUAUGUGAAUUAUGUCUCAUUAAAAAAAACAAACUGUUAAGAAAACCAGGAGUGGUCUGGAGAAAUGCUUAGCCACGGCUCCAGGCUCCAGGCUGGGCCAUGCCUCACCUCUCUGGAUGGGAACUCAGCACAGCUGGCAUCAACAAAGCUGACUGUCCCCUGUGUCAGGCAUCACAGGGUCAGGAGGCUCCUGGCUCAGAGGGGGAUGUGAAGGAGGGCAGUGGAGGGAAGAGAGUCCUGGCACAGGGAAGAGGGAACCAGGCUGCCGGCCCAGUGCCCAGCUGCUCCCCAUCCCUCACACCCUGGCCCUGGAGCCCUUGGCCACAUGCCCCAUCCCAGGACCGCCUAGUUGUGAGAGAAGCCCCCGUGGGAGAAGGCAGGGAGGUCGGGGGCACAGGCAGCAGCCUGGGGCAGGCAAGCUAGGGGGUUGACCUCGCAGGCCCCAGCAUCCUGGUCCCCUCGGAAGUAGAUGGAGUCGGCAGAGUAGAAGGAGGGGUCUUCGUCAAAGAAGUUGUAGGGUCGGAGGAAGAAGCCCACGCUGUUCCCCACAGUCACUGUGUUAGGAAUGUCCUCUGCAUGUGGGAUAUGCAGAAAACCAGCUGUCA